CUGCCAUAUUUAGCAGGCAGUGUCCUAUGUUCUGAACCAGCUGAAACUUCUAAGCUGCCAGAUUCAGCAAGGCUUCUAUCAUUUCUAUUUUACAAAACAGCCACUGCUGGCUGGCGCUGCAUAAGCAUCUCGACCUACACAGCUGCAGCUGAAGCUCUCUACAGCACUACAGUGACAAUAAUAUUGAGAAAAGAAGCAAAAGAAACUGUAUGAACAACUAAGUAAGAAAAUAAGCAUAGGCCUUACAGGGAAUGCCCAUGAGUUUCAGCCUAUGAAUGAAGCAAGGAAAAUAUGUGCUUCUAAUGGCAUCCUUUUAUAAAAAGCAUUCAACUC